AUGGAUCGCUGCAAUACACAUCCCCCGUCGGUGCUUCGCUCUCAUCUGACAAGCGUGACCGAUUCAUCCCGUUACUGGGUGAUAGGAAUUCCGGCGGGGAAGUCAUGCGUGAAAUUUAUUAUGAUUGAAAAUUCAUAAAGCCGGUAAGGUAUAGAUGAGUGCAGCCAGGUAUCACAACAAACUAUAAGGUGCAAAUUUGAGAAGUUUCUCGCCAAAUAAUGCAUCCAGCAGGUAGAUGGAUACGUGAUGCAAAAGGGGUGUGAUGCAUUCUACUUCGAUACGUGAGAUUGCAUAGGUCGAAAUCACGAUAUUGUACCUGACAAACUGACAUUGUAAUUUACACGAUAUCAAAGGUGUAAUUGGCAUGGAAAUUCAAAAGAAGCAAACAAAAGAAAAGGAGGGGAACCUGACAAAGAAAUAAACGACACAACCCUUUUAGUCUCAGGACACGUUUGUAUUACGACUUAAAUCGCUGAACAAAUACAGAAAUGACAAGAGAAAGUGAAAACAGCAAUGUUGGCGGAAAAAGCGGGUCACGGGUGUUUGCUCUACUUCGUUUUGUGGAGAUUUGUCAUCACUGCAACGCCAGAGGGGCAAGGAAUCUUGGAACAACUAUUGAAGUUCUGAAAUGAAUUUUCGUAUAUAUAUUUUUUCAUAUAAGACAUUCCAAUAGCGAUCAUUCAAAACCGCGAAGACGAAUUUCUUUAGUUCAUUGGUCAGUAUACAUGCAUAUACAGUAAGAAUUUGGUCAAUACAACAUUAUAAAAUAAAUAAAAUCAUAUAGAGAAUUAUGAUGGUAAUUAAGUUAAAAAAAACACCUUUUGAAAUUCUUUCAAAUAAUUUGCGGUUUCUUAUCUAUACCUAAAAGCAUUCUUCUCGUUAUCUCCUUAUAAGAGCAAAGCAAAAAGAAUUUUAUUUUAAAAAAGUCGAGAGGUUUCUAGUCGUUACUCUUAAGCUGUCACAAAUGUCCUGAAUUAAUGCGUUUCUUGCUCUUAGUUUUGAAAAAAAGAAGAAAGAUUUCAUAAAUGUA